GGAUGGCAAGGUCCUGAAACAGGGGCCGUGUCUUUGUGACUUUGCAUCUCAGCACCUAGCGUGAUGCCUGGGCUCAUGAAUGAGCCAUUCAUGACACAGGAUGUGUUGUAACUUAGGUUGGCUCAGUGGGUUAUGAUCCACCUGGCUCCCUGUCAUGCCAGGCUGGCCUGGAGUGGAACUGCAUAACUGUCAUUAGAAUGGCUGCAUUGAUCUCCUGCAAAAGCCAGAGAUGACUUUCGUCCCUCUGGAAAGUCACUGCUUAUUGGACCCUUCCAAACCAGCUAUCAAAUUGGUGGCAUUGCCAAUAAAGAUUAAGUGUUCAGAGGAGGAGUAAGUAUCUUGAAGUGGAGAUUGAAAUUGAUUCGUGGAAGAGAUGCUCUCAGCUGGAAAGAAAGGAGGUCCUUGUCUACACCAUUGGAUUUAGCUCCAAAUCCAGUCUAUCUUGCCCUGUUUACUGUGGACUCAUGCAUGCUAGUCCAACUACAUUAACCGAAAUAAAUUUAAAGUAUGUGAUAUGGGCAGCUUCAAAGGAAAAGAAGUUACCAAAAGAGAAAGAGGAAGAGACUGGAGAGAAGAUGGCGAUGGUGCAUGCUUGUGUGGCACGUACGUACCACAAAAGGCACAUAUACACCCACGUGUAUACCAUCCUUUGUGGUCAUGGGCUGAUUGCAAGAAUAUGAGCCUCAAGUGUUUUGGUUGUUUUCUUUUACUUGUUUUUG
rnacentral:lncRNA from 1 species